GAUGAACGCUGGCGGCGUGCCUAACACAUGCAAGUCGAGCGAUUCUCUUCGGAGAAGAGCGGCGGACGGGUGAGUAACGCGUGGGCAACCUGCCCUGUACACAUGGAUAACAUACCGAAAGGUAUGCUAAUACGAGAUAAUAUGCAUUUAUAGCAUGGUAGAAGUAUCAAAGCUCCGGCGGUACAGGAUGGACCCGCGUCUGAUUAGCUAGUUGGUAAGGUAACGGCUCACCAAGGCGACGAUCAGUAGCCGACCUGAGAGGGUGAUCGGCCACAUUGGAACUGAGACAUGGUCCAAACUCCUACGGGAGGCAGCAGUGGGGAAUAUUGCACAAUGGGCGAAAGCCUGAUGCAGCAACGCCGCGUGAGCGAUGAAGGCCUUCGGGUCGUAAAGCUCUGUCCUCAAGGAAGAUAAUGACGGUACUUGAGGAGGAAGCCCCGGCUAACUACGUGCCAGCCGCCGCAGUAA
rnacentral:rRNA from 1 species